AGGAAGGCAGCAGGCACGCAAAUUACCCACUCCCGGAACGGGGAGGUAGUGACAAAAAAUAACGAUACGGGACUCGAUAUGAGGCCUCGUAAUCGGAAUGAGUACACUCUAAAUCCUUUAACAAAAAUCUAUUGGAGGGCAAGUCUGGUGCCAGCAGCCGCGGUAAUUCCAGCUCCAAUAGCGUAUAUUAAAGUUGUUGCGGUUAAAAAGCUCGUAGUUGGUUCUGCGUCCCGCGCUGUCGGUACACCGUUUGUCGGUGACACUGGCAUGACGCGGGAUGUCCUGUCGGUGGCGGCGGAGACCAUAUCGUCGUCGGAUAACACCGCGGCGUGUUGGCCUUCUGUCGCCGGCUAUAUCCUACCGCGGUGCUCUUCACUGAGUGUCGAGGUAGGCCGACACGUUUACUUUGAACAAAUUAGAGUGCUUAAAGCAGGCAAAAAUCUCUGCCAGAAUAGUGGUGCAUGGAAUAAUGGAACAGGACCUUGGUUCUAUUCUGUUGGUCUCCGGAACACAAGGUAAUGAUCAAUGUGGACAGGCGGGGGCAUUCGUAUUGCGGCGUUAGAGGUGAAAUUCUUGGAUCGUCGCAAGACGCACUAGAGCGAAAGCAAUUGCCAAGUAUGUCUUAAUUGAUCAAGAACGAAAGUUAGAGGUUCGAAGGCGAUCAGAUACCGCCCUAGUUCUAACCAUAAACGAUGCCAGCCAGCGAUCCGCCGAUGUUCCUUUGAUGACUCGGCGGGGAGCUUUCCCCGGGAAACCAAAGCUUUUGGGUUCCGGGGGAAGUAUGGUUGCAAAGCUGAAACUUAAAGGAAUUGACGGAAGGGCACCACCAGAAGUGGAGCCUGCGGCUUAAUUUGACUCAACACGGGAAACCUCACCAGGUCAGGACAUUGGAAUGAUUGACAGAUUGAUAGCUCUUUCUUGAUUCAGUGGGUAGUGGUGCAUGGCCGUUCUUAG
rnacentral:rRNA from 1 species